rnacentral:rRNA from 1 species
UAAUGUAUGGGGAUCUGCCCGAUAGAGGGGAAUAACUACUGGAAACGGUGGCUAAUACCGCAUAAUGUCUACGGACCAAAGCAGGGGCUCUUCGGACCUUGCACUAUCGGAUGAACCCAUAUGGGAUUAGCUAGUAGGUGGGGUAAAGGCUCACCUAGACGACGAUCUCUAGCUGGUCUGAGAGGAUGAUCAGCCACACUGGGACUGAGACACGGCCCAG